rnacentral:rRNA from 1 species
UCCCCCGGCAGGCAGCAGUAGGGAAUUUUCGUCAAUGGGCGCAAGCCUGAACGAGCAAUGCCGCGUGAACGAGGAAGGUCUUCGGAUCGUAAAGUUCUGUUGAAGGGGAAAAAGAGCGGAGAGAGGAAAUGAACUCAGAUUGAUCUUACCCUUCGAGGACGUCACGGCUAACUACGUGCCAGCAGCCGCGGUAAUACGUAGGUGGCGAGCGUUAUCCGGAAUGAUUGGGCGUAAAGGGUGC